rnacentral:tRNA from 1 species
CGGGGAGUAAGUCAGCGGCAGACGGCUUGGCCUGGGACCAAGCAGGCGGUGAUUCGAGUUCACCCUCCCCGACCA